rnacentral:rRNA from 1 species
UACGGGGGGGGCAAGCGUUGUUCGGAAUUACUGGGCGUAAAGGGCGUGUAGGCGGCCUUCUAAGUCGGACGUGAAAUCCCUCGGCUUAACCGAGGAACUGCGUCUGAUACUGGAAGGCUUGAAUCCGGGAGAGGGAUGUGGAAUUCCAGGUGUAGCGGUGAAAUGCGUAGAUAUCUGGAGGAACACCGGUGGCGAAGGCGGCAUCCUGGACCGGCAUUGACGCUGAGGCGCGAAAGCUAGGGGAGCAAACGGG